rnacentral:rRNA from 1 species
GCCUACGGGGCGCAGCAGUGGGGGAUAUUGCACAAUGGAGGAAACUCUGAUGCAGCGACGCCGCGUGAGGGAAGACGGUCUUCGGAUUGUAAACCUCUGUCUUUGGGGAAGAAAAUGACGGUACCCAAAGAGGAAGCUCCGGAUAACUACGAGCCAGCAGCCGCGGUAAUACGUAGGGAGCGAGCGUUGUCCGGAAUUAAUGGGGGUAGAGAGAGCGUAGGCGGGCGAGAAAGUUGAAUGUUA